CAGCCAUGCCGCGUGUGUGAAGAAGGCCUUCGGGUUGUAAAAGCACUUUCAGUAGGGAGGAAGGUAGUCGUAGUUAACACCUGCAUUAUUUGACGUUACCUACAGAAGAAGCACCGGCUAACUCCGGUGCCAGCAGCCGCGGUAAUACGGAGGGUGCGAGCGUUAAUCGGAAUUACUGGGCGUAAAGCGCAUGCAGGCGGCCUGUUAAGUCAGAUGUGAAAGCCCGGGGCUUAACCUCGGAAUUGCAUUUGAAACUGGCAGGCUAGAGUCUUGUAGAGGGGGUAGAAUUUCAGGUGUAGCGGUGAAAUGCGUAGAGAUCUGAAGGAAUACCAGUGGCGAAGGCGGCCCCCUGGACAAAGACUGACGCUCAGAUGCGAAAGCGUGGGGAGCAAACAGGAUUAGAUACCCUGGUAG
rnacentral:rRNA from 1 species